AUACCUUUCUUGGCCUUUUGUCUAAGAUUAAGUGUAGUAUAUGUUCUUAUCAGUAUAAUAUUUGAUAUGUGGUCCAUCGGUUCACGUGAUACUAACUUAUUAUUUAAGGGGGAGAGUCCAUCCAGAUAGCUUCCUAUAUGGGCCUUUGCAUCUCUCCUAGGUGUUGCAUACAACCCAAGCCUAGCGUACCCCAC